rnacentral:rRNA from 1 species
UACGGGGGGAGCAAGCGUUGUUCGGAUUUACUGGGCGUAAAGGGCGCGUAGGCGGUCAGCACAAGUCAGUUGUGAAAUCUCCGGGCUUAACCCGGAAAGGUCAACUGAUACUGUGCGACUAGAGUGCGGAAGGGGCAACUGGAAUUCUUGGUGUAGCGGUGAAAUGCGUAGAUAUCAAGAGGAACACCUGCGGCGAAGGCGGGUUGCUGGGCCGACACUGACGCUGAAGCGCGAAAGCCAGGGGAGCGAACGGG